rnacentral:rRNA from 1 species
UGACUGGGGCGGUCUCCUCCUAAAGAGUAACGGAGGAGCACGAAGGUUGGCUAAGUACGGUCGGACAUCGUACGGUUAGUGCAAAGGCAGAAGCCAGCUUAACUGCGAGACAGACACGUCGAGCAGGUACGAAAGUAGGUCUUAGUGAUCCGGUGGUUCUGUAUGGAAGGGCCAUCGCUCAACGGAUAAAAGGUACUCCGGGGAUAACAGGCUGAUACCGCCCAAGAGUUCAUAUCGACGGCGGUGUUUGGCACCUCGAUGUCGGCUCAUCACAUCCUGGGGCUGAAGUCGGUCCCAAGGGUAUGGCUGUUCGCCAUUUAAAGUGGUACGCGAGCUGGGUUUAGAACGUCGUGAGACAGUUCGGUCCCUAUCUGCCGUGGGCGUUGGAUGAUUGAUUGGAGUUGCUCCUAGUACGAGAGGACCGGAGUGAACGAACCGCUGGUGUUCGGGUUGUCAUGCCAAUGGCACUGCCCGGUAGCUAUGUUCGGAACGGAUAACCGCUGAAAGCAUCUAAGCGGGAAGCCGGCCAAAAGAUGAGUCAUCCCUUGUACCUUGAGUACACAUAAGGGUCGUUGGAGACCACAACGUUGAUAGGUGAGGUGUGGAAGCGUGGUGACACGUUAAGCUAACUCAUACUAAUUGCCCGAGAGGCUUAACCAUACAACGCCCAAGGUGUU